rnacentral:rRNA from 1 species
UACGGAGGAUGCGAGCGUUAUCCGGAUUUAUUGGGUUUAAAGGGUGCGCAGGCGGAUUUUUAAGUCAGCGGUCAAAUCGUGGGGCUCAACCCCAUCCAGCCGUUGAAACUGGGGAUCUAGAGUGUGCGAGAGGUAUGCGGAAUGCGUGGUGUAGCGGUGAAAUGCACAGAUAUCACGCAGAACCCCGAUUGCGAAGGCAGCAUACCGGUGCACAACUGACGCUCAGGCACGAAAGCGUGGGUAUCGAACAGG